rnacentral:sRNA from 1 species
UCCCUCCUGAAGCUGCACCCUCGGUCAAAGAGGAGGACUUUGCCUACUAGAGGAGGACUGUUCUUCAGUCAAGUGUAUAUGAGUAGCUGUGCUCCCCUGCAAGAACCUCCAAACAAGCUCUCAGCUGAUUUUUGACAAAGGUGCACAAGC